AUUUAUUAUCAGUUCAAUGAAAUAACUAAUUUAGUGUUUUUACAAUUUUUUUUGCUUAUUCUGUUUACUGAUGGAUAUAUAUUUAUAUUUAAUUUAUUAUUGAUUUAUUGAAGAUAUAUGGGUACUCCUCUACUUACAGUGGGAAUAAGUUUUGAUAAUCCCAUCAUAAAUAAAAAAAAGUUGAAAAUGACUGUCAAUAGUAAUUGUUUAUAUCAGCAUAUAAGAGUUACCUCUUUCUCAAAUAUCCACAUCUGUUUUCAAUCUGAAACCAAGUUAUUGGAUAAACAUACAAGGCAUUCAAAUAUAUAUUGUAUUUAUAGUAAAUAUAUAAUAAUAAAAUUCAUUUAAUAAUAAAAAAUAAUGAAAUACAA
rnacentral:lncRNA from 1 species